UUUUAUAUAGAUACUAAUCAUAUAAUACUAUAAAAGGUCAAAUAUUAAUUUAAUCAGUUGGAAGGUUAUCAGGUAACACAGCUAUUCAAGACUUCAAACAAUAAUGGUGAUUACUAAUAUACUAGGUGUGUGUGUAUUUGUGUGUGUCAGAGAGUUGCUUAUCUGUUGCCACUAGGACUUUAUUGAAGCCCAAAGAUUCACACUGCAGCCAUUUUCAGUGCUGUUGCAACAUUUCAAAUGAUGCAGACCUUCCGAAUAAUGCUAAUGUGUAGAUAAAGUACAUCAGAGCUUAAAUGCUGUAACCAUGGCAACAACUCACGUGACUUUGCGGUUUACUGACACCGUAACACUCAAACCCUGACUGACUGACAGACAGAGGAAAAAACCAAAGUAAUCCAGCGAAUUCAAGAUGGAUGCCGUCUCCCUUACGCUUCGGUUGGGACCAGGGAAGGCGGAAAAGGCCGAAGUGUCGGAUUGCAUCAGCCACGAGAAGCCAAUCAGGUUCAACUUCCCGAGAGCCCCCCACGUUCAGGCUCGUAGUGUUAACCCCAAGGACAGAGGUAAAAGUGUUGAGUAAACCUUUAAGAAGGCAAAGCAACAUGGAGAAGAAAGAUAGAAAGAAGGAAAAGAAAGAAGAGGCAAAAGAGAUGAAGAACAGGGAGAUGAAAGAAGAAAAGGAAAAGAAGAACAGACGAAAGCAAGAAGAAAAAGAAAGACUUGAGAAAGUAAAAGAAGAAGAACAAGAAAAGAGAAGAGAAAAGCAAAGAAAGAAGAGCGAAAAGGAAGAUGAAAGAAAUAAGAAAGAAAAGAGGAAGAAAAGCAGGGGAUGACACACGAACAACCAAUCGUACCAAUCCUCAAUACUAAAACCUUAUUGAUUUCCACCACCACCCCUACUCCCCCCUUCUCCCCCGCCGUCUUUCGAACCCUCCUCAUCAUUAAAAAACAACAGGAAAAUGAGAGAGAGAAAGAAGAAAGAAGAAGAAGAGGGAAGGGAACAAAGGAAAAAGGAAGAAAAAGAUAGAAUGGAAAGACAGAAAACACUGACAGUUAAACACAUGGAGAGGAUGUCAAAGAAACUAAACCUACACACCCUCAUCCCUAAACCCAGCAACACUUCCACCUUCCGAACCCCCCCUACUUCUUCCUACCACAUCCUCCCUUCUCCUCCCUUCUCCAAACCCCUUAUUCAUACCCUUCCUAACAUCAAGGAAGAGGAGGAAGAGGAAAUCAAGGAGAAGACAAUGAUUAAGCAAAUGGAAAGGAUGUCAAGGAAACAAUCCUUUUUACCCACCAUCAUUCCAAAACCCACAUCCAUUGCCAGCUUCCCCACCCCCCCUACUUCUUUCUACCCCAUCCUCCCAACUCCCUCCCUUCUCCAA